UAUUUUUAUAAAUAAUUUUACCAAAAUUUAUAAUUAUAAUUUUGAUUUUAUUUCUGUCGUGCAGGUGACACGUAAGCGCCACGCGAGUAAGGGUGAAGGUGCUGAAAUAAGUUCAACAUGUUAAUUCAUUCACCAUGUCUAAACACGGUGAAUGGUUGAAAUAUAAGUAUGGAACACAGUAAACCAUUCAUCGUGUCUAAAUACGGCGAAUGGUUGAAAUAUAAGUAUGGAACACAGUAAACCAUUUAUCGUGUCUAAAUACAGUAAAUAGUUAGAAUAUAAGUAUGAUACACGGUGAACAUUUGAUUUCUAAGCACUUCAAGUGGUAUAGAUCAUGUUCAACGGUGCCGAUCGUCGAUUUGGAGGCUCCAUCAUCAAAAACAAAUGGGUGGUAACGGAGCCCGUUUGCUAUCGAUAGUAUUCUAGCUCAACUCUAUAUAUAUAUGAGUUGAGCUAGAAUACUAUCGAUAGCAAACGGGCUCCGUUACCACCCAUUUGUUUUCGAUGAUGGAGCCUCCAAAUCGACGAUCGGCACCGUUGAACAUGAUCUAUACCACUUGAAUUAUCUAGAAAUCAAAUUUUAUGCUUUUCCGAUAUUGUUCUCUUGUCCAUCAAGUGGGCAUAAAAAUGAACGGCUGAAAAUGAAUAUCCUCUAAAAAAUGAUGAUAGGAAUUUUGUAAUCAAGAUCGAGAGUAUAGAUCUUAUUCUAAAUAGUUUAAAAAAUUUUCUAACCAAAAUUCAAUUGAUUUGGAUAGCUUUACACCGUUAAAUAAGAAAACGCAUCAUAUCUACCAUUAAAAUUAUAAAUUUUGAAACAUUUUGAUCAUUAGGUUAAUGAUGUCGAAAUGAUUUGAAAUUUGGUUUCUAGAUACUUCAAGUGGUAUAGAUCAUGUUCAACGGUGCCGAUCGUCAAUUUAAAGGUUCCAUCAUCAAAAACAAAUGGGUGGCAACGGAGCCAGUUUGCUACUGAUAGCAUUCCAGCUCAACUCUAUAUAUAUAUUAUAAAAAAAUUAGGUAUUUAAGAAAACUUAUUAUUUUUAUUUAUAUAAAAUUUAUUAUCUAGGUUAGUUUAAACAAAUUAACCAUAAAAAAGGUGUCUACUUUUAUUAGAAAAAUAGUAUUCAAAAUUUAUAUGUAAAUUUUUUACAAUAUUAUGUCGGAUCGUUGGCGCUAAUCAUUAAUCCCAAAAGCUCGAGCUGUUAGAAAUACGCAACCAAUUCACUUAAAGCGUACGGAAAUAGCGCCCACGGGUCUGAAAAAUUCUAGAAUGCAACGGGAAUAUUGGUGACGUGGUGUAACAAACCAAUCAAAUGUCUCCUUUUAGAAGUAUAUAUCCCAUCAUGAUUGUAAAAAAAGAUUUGUAUUGUACUUUUGUUUGAAAAGAAAGAAUAUGAUUGGUUUGUUAUUGAUGACAUGUGCCAAUGUGAUAGCGUAGAAUUCCUCCACAGGUCUCGAUUGUGACUCGACCCACCUGGUCUCACGCCACUUUGAACAUGAUUCAGCUCAACCCAGCCUCACGUCAUUUCGAACAUGACUCAGCCCACAUGACCUCUCGCCAUAGGGCAGGAUGCUGGCCCAUUUAAGCCAACACAUUGUACAGGCGCAAAUACAAU
rnacentral:lncRNA from 1 species